AUUGAACGCUGGCGGCAGGCCUAACACAUGCAAGUCGAACGAGUGGCGGACGGGUGAGUAAUGCUUGGGAAUCUGGCUUAUGGAGGGGGAUAACUACGGGAAACUGUAGCUAAUACCGCAUACCAUCGGAUGAGCCCAAGUGGGAUUAGGUUGUUGUGGAGGUAAAGGCUCACCAAGCCGACGAUCCCUAGCUGGUCUGAGAGGAUGCCCAGCCAAACUGGGACUGAGACACGGCCCAGACUCCUACGGUAGGCAGCAGUGGGGAAUAUUGCGCAAUGGGGGCAAGCCUGAAGCAGCCAUGCCGCGUGAAUGAAGAAGGCCUUCGGGUUGUAAAGUGCUUUCGGUAGGGAGGCGUUAACUACAGAAGAAGCACCGGCUAACUCCGUGCCAGCAGCGGCGGUAAUUC
rnacentral:rRNA from 1 species